rnacentral:lncRNA from 1 species
CAUUGCAACAUAUGUAUCCUUCUGGAGAGGAAAAGCAUUACCUAUCAGUCUGAAGAGGAGCACUGUUUAAGGAGCCAAAAGGUGUGCUUUUAGAGAUAUCUCUUCCCAGGCAAUGAUUCACACUACCACUUCCUCC